UGGGGAAUAUUGCACAAUGGGCGCAAGCCUGAUGCAGCCAUGCCGCGUGUGUGAAGAAGGCCUUCGGGUUGUAAAGCACUUUCAGCGAGGAGGAAGGUGGUGAACUUAAUACGUUCAUCAAUUGACGUUACUCGCAGAAGAAGCACCGGCUAACUCCGUGCCAGCAGCCGCGGUAAUACGGAGGGUGCAAGCGUUAAUCGGAAUUACUGGGCGUAAAGCGCACGCAGGCGGUUUGUUAAGUCAGAUGUGAAAUCCCCGGGCUCAACCUGGGAACUGCAUUUGAAACUGGCAAGCUAGAGUCUCGUAGAGGGGGGUAGAAUUCCAGGUGUAGCGGUGAAAUGCGUAGAGAUCUGGAGGAAUACCGGUGGCGAAGGCGGCCCCCUGGACGAAGACUGACGCUCAGGUGCGAAAGCGUGAGGAGCAAACAGGAUUAGAUACCCUGGUAGUCCACGCUGUAAAACGAUGUCGAUUUUGGAGGUUGUGCCCUUGAGGCGUGGCUUCCGGAGCUAACGCGUUAAAUCGACCGCCUGGGGAGUACGGCCGCAAGGUU
rnacentral:rRNA from 1 species